rnacentral:rRNA from 1 species
AUGCACGCUGGCGGCGUGCCUAAUCCCUGCCAGUCGCGCGCGCGGACGAGAAGCUUGCUUCUCUGAUGUUAGCGGCGGACGGGUGAGUAACACGUGGAUAACCUACCUAUAAGACUGGGAUAACUUCGGGAAACCGGAGCUAAUACCGGAUAAUAUUUUGAACCGCAUGGUUCAAAAGUGAAAGACGGUCUUGCUGUCACUUAUAGAUGGAUCCGCGCUGCAUUAGCUAGUUGGUAAGGUAACGGCUUACCAAGGCAACGAUGCAUAGCCGACCUGAGAGGGUGAUCGGCCACACUGGAACUGAGACACGGUCCAGACUCCUACGGGAGGCAGCAGUAGGGAAUCUUCCGCAAUGGGCGAAAGCCUGACGGAGCAACGCCGCGUGAGUGAUGAAGGUCUUCGGAUCGUAAAACUCUGUUAUUAGGGAAGAACAUAUGUGUAAGUAACUGUGCACAUCUUGACGGUACCUAAUCAGAAAGCCACGGCUAACUACGUG